GAUGAACGCUGGCGGCGUGCCUAAUACAUGCAAGUCGAGCGAACGGACGAGAAGCUUGCUUCUCUGAUGUUAGCGGCGGACGGGUGAGUAACACGUGGAUAACCUACCUAUAAGACUGGGAUAACUUCGGGAAACCGGAGCUAAUGCCGGAUAAUAUUUUGAACCGCAUGGUUCAAAAGUGAAAGACGGUCUUGCUGUCACUUAUAGAAGGAUCCGCGCUGCAUUAGCUAGUUGGUAAGGUAACGGCUUACCAAGGCAACGAUGCAUAGCCGACCUGAGAGGGUGAUCGGCCACACUGGAACUGAGACACGGUCCAGACUCCUACGGGAGGCAGCAGUAGGGAAUCUUCCGCAAUGGGCGAAAGCCUGACGGAGCAACGCCGCGUGAGUGAUGAAGGUCUUCGGAUCGUAAAACUCUGUUAUUAGGGAAGAACAUAUGUGUAAGUAACUGUGCACAUCUUGACGGUACCUAAUCAGAAAGCCACGGCUAACUACGUG
rnacentral:rRNA from 1 species